rnacentral:rRNA from 1 species
CUUCGGGGUAGAUCUCCCACCCUUGUGUAUCAUUAUUAAAUGUUGCUUUGGUGGGCCGCGAGCCUGGCUUGCCUGGAUUCACGUCCGGUGUGCCCGCCAGAGGACCUAAAACUCUGAAUGUUAGUGUCGUCUGAGUACUAUUAAAUAGUUAAAACUUUCAACAACGGAUCUCUUGGUUCUGGCAUCGAUGAAGAACGCAGCGAAAUGCGAUAAGUAAUGUGAAUUGCAGAAUUCAGUGAAUCAUCGAAUCUUUGAACGCACAUUGCGCCCCUUGGUAUUCCGGGGGGCAUGCCUGUUCGAGCGUCAUUUAUACCAAUCUAGCUCGGCUAGGUGUUGGGUUUCGCCGUUUGGCGGGCCUUAAAAUUAGUGGCGGUGCUCCUCAGCUCUACGCGUAGUAAUUCUUCUCGCUACAGGGUCUUGUGGAGAUGCUUGCCAGCAACCCCGAAUUUUUCUAGGUUGACCUCGGAUCA